rnacentral:rRNA from 1 species
CUCCGUUGAAAAGGCGGCGGAUGAGGUGUGGAUAGCGGAGAAAUUCCAAUCGAACCCGGAGAUAGCUGGUUCUCCCCGAAAUAGCUUUAGGGCUAGCGUUGUAUAUCAUUACCGGAGGUAAAGCACUGAAUGGCCUAGGGCCCUAACGGGUACCGAAGCCUAUCAAACUAAGAAUGCCGGAUAAUGUGAGUACAGCAGUCAGACUAUGGGAGAUAAGUUUCAUGGUCAAAAGGGAAACAGCCCAGACCCACAGCUAAGGUCCCAAAUAUGAUUUAAGUGGAAAACGAUGUGGAGUUGCGAAAACAACCAGGAUGUUGGCUUAGAAGCAGCCACUCAUUCAAAGAGUGCGUAAUAGCUCACUGGUCGAGUGACUCUGCGCGGAAAAUUCAACGGGGCUAAAAUCAUAACCGAAGCUUGGGAUGCAUUAAAUGCAUGGUAGGGGAGCGUUGUGUAAGGGGUGAAGUCACAGCGGAAGCGGUGGUGGACAUUACACAAGUGAGAAUGCCGGAAUGAGUAGCGCGAAUUAUGUGAGAAUCAUAAUGGCCGAAAGUCUAAGGUUUUUGGAGGAAGGUUCGUCCGCUCCAAGUUAGUCGGGAGCUAAGGUGAGGCCGAAAGGCGUAGCCGAUGCACAUACGGUAGAAAUUCCGUAACCGUCGAAGUAUUUAAGCAAAGGGACACUGAGGAAGUGUAUGACCCGGGCGAUGGUAGCCCCGGGCGAAAGGGACCGAAGUAUAGUAGGGAAGCAUGCAUGGAAACAGGCGAGAAAAGCUUUGUGAAUAUACAAGAUGCCCGUACCGCAAACCGACACAGGUAGGUAGGAAGAGAAUUCUAAGGCCAACGGGAGAAGUGUUGUUAAGGAACUCGGCAAGUUGACCCCGUAACUUCGGGAGAAGGGGUGCUCACGAGAGUGAGCCGCAGAGAAUAGGUCCAGGCGACUGUUUAGCAAAAACACAGCUCUAUGCUAAAUCGGAAGAUGAUGUAUAUGGGGUGACGCCUGCCCGGUGCUGGAAGGUUAAGAGGAGGAGUGAGAGCCCCGAAUCGAAGCCCCAGUAAACGGCGGCCGUAACUAUAACGGUCCUAAGGUAGCGAAAUUCCUUGUCAGGUAAGUUCUGACCCGCACGAAUGGCGUAACGAUCUGGACACUGUCUCAACAGCACGCCCGGCGAAAUUGUAGUACCGGUGAAGAUGCCGGUUACCCGCGACAAGACGGAAAGACCCCAUGGAGCUUCACUGUAGCUUAAUAUUGGAUUUCGGUAUUUCAUGUACAGCAUAGGUGGGAGGCAGAGAAACUAGGACGCCAGUCUUAGCGGAGCCGCCGUUGGGAUACCACUCUUGAAGUGCUGAAAUUCUAACCUGGAGCCAUGAAACUGGCUCGGGGACAUUGUUAGGUGGGCAGUUUGACUGGGGCGGUCGCCUCCAAAAAGGUAACGGAGGCGCUCAAAGGUUGGCUCAGCAUGGAUGGAAACCAUGCAAAAGAGUGUAAACGCAGAAGCCAGCCUAACUGCGAGACGGACAGGUCGAGCAGUAACGAAAGUUGGAGUUAGUGAUCCGGUGGUAUGUGAGUGGAAAUGCCAUCGCUCAACGGAUAAAAGCUACCCUGGGGAUAACAGGCUG